rnacentral:rRNA from 1 species
AUUGAACGCUGGCGGCAUGCCUUACACAUGCAAGUCGAACGGCAGCACGGACUUCGGUCUGGUGGCGAGUGGCGAACGGGUGAGUAAUGUAUCGGAACGUACCUUUCAGUGGGGGAUAACGUAGCGAAAGUUACGCUAAUACCGCAUAUUCUGUGAGCAGGAAAGCAGGGGAUCGCAAGACCUUGCGCUGAUUGAGCGGCCGAUAUCAGAUUAGCUAGUUGGUGGGGUAAAGGCCUACCAAGGCUACGAUCUGUAGCGGGUCUGAGAGGAUGAUCCGCCACACUGGAACUGAGACACGGUCCAGACUCCUACGGGAGGCAGCAGUGGGGAAUUUUGGACAAUGGGGGCAACCCUGAUCCAGCCAUGCCGCGUGAGUGAAGAAGGCCUGG